rnacentral:rRNA from 1 species
UCCAGACUCCUACGGGAGGCAGCAGUGGGGAAUUUUGGACAAUGGGCGCAAGCCUGAUCCAGCUAUUCCGCGUGUGGGAUGACUGCCCUACGGGUUGUAAACUUCUUUUAUAAAGGAAUAAAGUGAGGCACGUGUGCCUUUUUGUAUGUACUUUAUGAAUAAGGAUCGGCUAACUCCGUGCCAGCAGCCGCGGUAAUACGGAGGAUCCGAGCGUUAUCCGGAUUUAUUGGGUUUAAAGGGAGCGUAGAUGGGUUGUUAAGUCAGUUGUGAAAGUUUGCGGCUCAACCGUAAAAUUGCAAUUGAUACUGGCAGCCUUGAGUACAGUUGAGGUAGGCGGAAUUCGUGGUGUAGCGGUGAAAUGCUUAGAUAUCACGAAGAACUCCGAUUGCGAAGGCAGCUCACUGGACUGCAACUGACACUGAGGCUCGAAAGUGUGGGUAUCAAACAGGAUUAGAUACCCCCGUAGA